GGUCAAUGAUGUCAUGGCAUGUAUUAGCUGAAUCCGUGGUGUGAGUUCUAAAUUUAUACUGAGAUACU
ensembl:snoRNA